GACGUAGGGUGCGAGCGUUGUCCGGAUUUAUUGGGCGUAAAGAGCUCGUAGGCGGCUCGUCGCGUCAGCUGUGAAAACCCGCGGCUUAACCGUGGGCGUGCAGCUGAUACGGGCGGGCUAGAGUUCGGUAGGGGAGACUGGAAUUCCUGGUGUAGCGGUGAAAUGCGCAGAUAUCAGGAGGAACACCGGUGGCGAAGGUGGGUCUCUGGGCCGAUACUGACGCUGAGGAGCGAAAGCGUGGGGAGCGAACAGG
rnacentral:rRNA from 1 species